CUUCCUCGUGGUCGCGCACCCGGUUGGAUUUCACAGUCAUGGAAGUUCUGCUUUAAAAUCCGUUUCUGAAGAAGUGUUAAUGUAUAAGAAAAACAGCAGACGAACACCAGGUGAGGGAGAGUGUAUUAAACACCUGGACGGUACUCCGCAAAUAUGACACAGUCACCAAAGACAAGUUUGAGAAUCUGUCUCAGACAAGAUCUUGACACUGCUGACCAGGGACAAAAUGUCCCAUUGACAGUCAUGCUCUGGAGCAGGAUGGGCAGUGAGAGACCAGAGACCACAGGAUGGUGGAAAAGCCAGGAAAUUUGUGAGCCGACCAAACCGGAUUUGAAUUCUCUUUCUGAAAAUAAGUAAUUAUGUGAGUCACUCAUUCUCUGAGCUUGAGUUUCUGCAUCCGUAAACUAAGGAUGAUAUGGGAAACACAAAUGCUGACCUCAAGGAGAAGCUGAAGCCAAGAGUAUUAAUCACAGUGGUGAAGAUAAGAAAGAUGACCCCAAGUAAGAAAGCCCAGAAAGGCACUUGCUGUUGACUCCCUCAGAAAGAACACCACGAAAGACCAUGGAUCAUGUAAAUAAGAAGAAGAAAGAAAGUAAGGAAGAAACACCAUACCUUGUUGAGAGCUGUAAAUGGUAUGAUAUUUUACUCCAUGUGGAGCUAACAAACUAGCCUGUCACAACUUCAAGGAUGCUGUCGGAAGACACAAGAUUCCUGGGUCAGAGCCAAAGGACCGUAUCAACGAUGGCAGUGCCUGGGCAUCCCACAUGUGUGUUUAUUCUCCUUGCCCAGAAAAAUGGUGUGGAACGCCCUCGAUGAAACGUGUACACAGUGGGUUGCAUGACAGGAGAAAAUCUCAGAGACUUAGGAACCCAAAUAUGUUAUUGUGAGCAGUGAGCAUUGCUGCCCUUGGCUCCCCGGGAAGACAACAUCUGUAUCUUCCAACAGUGUUAACUGCACAGACAUCCUUGAAAAGAUAGUCCAGAACAAAGGGUGGUUAGUGCCUUGCUGGCAAAAUGUGAUAAAAAUAUGACACUCUUUGAAAUUAUCGUCCAAUGUGUCUUUCCCAUAUGAAAUAGACAACACUUUAAACACAACUUUAAUUAAAUUUUUAUACAUUCCAAUUUGGGAAGCAGUGAUAAUUUAAAUUAUGACAAAAUUCACUGGAUGGCAGUGUCAGGGAGAGAAUGGGGAGGCCAUGCUGAGAAAAUGUUUAUACGUGCAAAGGAAGAGAAUUGCGUAGGACCUCAUAAACAGCUUUUGACUUUGCCAGUGACAAACUCAAGUGUGCUACGGAAGAGUCAGCUCCUGCAACCUGGAGCGGAGGCAAGGGGUCCGUCCUCAGUAAGUGUGGUGGGUCAAAUGGUGCCCCCAAAAACCUCAGAAUGUGACUGUGCUUGAAAUAAGAGUCUUUGCAGAGACAAAGAAGGAGACACAGAGAGACAAAGAGACGAAGAGAGGAGGGUGAUGUGAAGAUGGACGCAGAGAUCAAAUCCAUGAAGCUAAGGAAUUCCAGGAAGCGGAGAGAGCUGGGACAGAGAUAUGGAACAGACCCUCUCUCUGAGCUUCCAGAAGGUGUGAUUUUGGACUUCUCAUCCGCAGCUCUGGGAGAGAAUAAAUU
rnacentral:lncRNA from 1 species